GAUGAACGCUGGCGGCGUGCCUAAUACAUGCAAGUCGAGCGAACGGACGAGAAGCUUGCUUCUCUGAUGUUAGCGGCGGACGGGUGAGUAGCACGUGGAUAACCUACCUAUAAGACUGGGAUAACUUCGGAAAACCGGAGCUAAUACCGGAUAAUAUUUUGAACCGCAUGGUUCAAAAGUGAAAGACGGUCUUGCUGUCACUUAUAGAUGGAUCCGCGCUGCAUUAGCUAGUUGGUAAGGUAACGGCUUACCAAGGCAACGAUGCAUAGCCGACCUGAGAGGGUGAUCGGCCACACUGGAACUGAGACACGGUCCAGACUCCUACGGGAGGCAGCAGUAGGGAAUCUUCCGCAAUGGGCGAAAGCCUGACGGAGCAACGCCGCGUGAGUGAUGAAGGUCUUCGGAUCGUAAAACUCUGUUAUUAGGGAAGAACAUAUGUGUAAGUAACUGUGCACAUCUUGACGGUACCUAAUCAGAAAGCCACGGCUGACUACGUG
rnacentral:rRNA from 1 species